GUACUAGUAUUUUUAUUGCUGAUUUUUCUUCAUUUUGGUUUCACCAUAGUUUAUUAUGAUUAUAAAUGUGUUAUUCCUAUAUUUUUCUCAAGGGUUUGUGAGUUGACUAUGGUCAAGGUUUUUUUUUAAGGGUUCUACUCUCAUCUAGAGCCUUCCUCUAUGAAUUCUCCUCUGCUUUUUAAUAGAAAAAUUGGAUGUAUUUAUAGUUUCUCGUUGUGUGAACUAAUUAUGGUUUAGUUGGUGACCUAUAUUUGUGCUUCCGCUGACUGAUUAGGUUCUUUCUAGUGACUCAUGUUCAACUUUCAAUCCCUGGCAACUUAAGACACCAGAUUGGUAGAAUGCUUGUUGUUGAUGCCUUGUAUGACUUACAACACUCUGGAGUUUAUGACAUCAUUGGAAAACAUGAAGAUUCAGCAACUUGCAUUGAGUAUUCUCCAGAAACAGGCGCACAAGUUUUAUGGUGUUCAGGAUCCUCUGGCACAAGAGUGUUUUGAGGCUAUUAAGUCUGCAAAAAGUCCUGAAGAAGCAGCCAGGAUAGGAAGGAAAAUGCAGAGACGAAGACCAGACCUGGUAUGUUUCAUUUUCUAGAGUUUAAUGAAAUCUUCAAAACUACUAGUCUGGCUCUAUAAUUGUGAUGUUACUAUGAUUUUCUCUUGUGUCUAAAUUGUAAAAGGAAAUGUUUAAUCUCAUCCUGUCCAUUUUGGAAUGUCGGAAUUGAAGAUCAUAUUUUGAAUCCUUCUUAGGGGACCACUGCCAGUAGAAGCUGAAUUUUCAGGAUUCAGACUUGGACAGUAUCUUGAGCUGUCAGCAAUCUAGCAUAAAUUCCCAAUUUCUUUACAAUUUGCUGUAUUCGGUUUGUAUGUAUGCCUGGAUAGUGAAAUUCAUACUCCGUAUAUGCAAGCUAGCCAUUAUAACCUCAUAAGUAAAUACAGUUGUGGAGUUCUUCAGUUGUGCUCCAUCAAUCAAGGUUGCAGAAUCACUUGGUCAUACAGUCCUUGGAUGGCGUCCUGUCCAAACUCAUAAUUCGGGACUUGGAUAUGCGGUUUUAUCUUUCAGAGCAUGAAAAAUUCAGAGAUUUUGGGAAUGAACAAGCUCUCAUCUGGCAUGAGACUAACAUCCCUUAUGCAAUCUGGAAACCUGAGAGUACUAGGACCUUGUCCUUAAAUUAUCAGCCUUCUGAGGGAUUUCUCUGAGCUGCUGGUUGUUGUGUUACUUUAGGCUGGACUGCUAGUUUCUGGUCCUCCUGCUGUCUGGUUUCUGUUGCUGGUUCUGUCUAUGCACUGCUGCUGCUGGUUCCUUCUCUGCUUUGCCAGCUGCUGCUGUUUUUGGCUCUGUUUACUCUGGUUGCUGUUGUGAUGUUCUCUGCCUGGUGCUAUGUGCCUGCUUUUGGUUGCUGCUGUUGUCCUGCUGGGCUUGAGGGUUGGCGCAGUGUGUUGGCUGGUUCCUUCUUCCUCUGUUCAGUUGCUAGUGUGGAGCGGUCUUAGAUAUUUUCGUUCCUUGCUUUGAUUUUUUUUGGACGAAAAUUGUAAUAUACAGCCUUUUUUAAUGCAAAUAUGUAACUUUAUAUA